GAUGUGUUUGAGACUUAAAGAAACUUGUUCUAGUAGGGUAAUGAUAGUACAGUGGAUGUCUCUUAGAGUAAAUAUCUUUUUACACUUAUAGAUCUGGAUAGAAUUUGAAAGUUUUACUCUUUUAUCAGAUCAUUUCACUCAUGCAACUUAUCGAAUUUACAAUAAACUAUUCAAGCCUUGUUUAAAUGUGUUUCUGUGCUAGAAAAAGUAUACUUAUGUGACACUUCCAUGGAUCAAAUCGUGUGAAUGGCACGGUAAAGAACAAACACAUUCCAAGCUAGAGCUCCAGAUCUGCCUUAAAUUUCAGUAAUGGCCUUCAAUCACAUUUUCUAGAAAACUGGUGAUAUGUGAUUCUAAGUUGGUCCCACUUAUUUUGAUUAUCUUAGUUUAGCUGUAAUAUAGAACUCGAAGAGCUGUUAUUAUUAUUCCUUGAACUGCAGGUGUUUUGAAAGUAUUUGCAAUCUAUCUACAACCUCAUCCCUGCCCCUAUAAUGGAGUAGAUCAUGUGUUUUGUUAAAAUGUUUUUGAAAAAAUUAUUGGUAGCAAUGAAUUGUGCUCUGCCAAUUGCAACACUUAAAAUUUGAUUGUGCUCUGCCAAUUGCAUCACUUGAUUUAAUUGAAUGUAUAUAUACUGUUUGACACACUUUUCAUUUCUAUAUUCCUGGUGCAGAAACAGACCUAACUUUAUGUAUAUUGUUUAUUCUGAUUAUUGUAAAGCUCUAGCUCUAAGCAGUUAGCCAGAAUGUUAACUUUUAAGUAUCAUUAUUACUAGCUGAACCAGAAUUUUCCUUGGGACGAGAUUCUUUCCUGGCAAACAUUAUUAUAUGCUGGUAUAAUAACGACCGAUUCUUCAGACGAAAACAUGACUGGUGAGAGUCGUGUGAGCGGUAGCGUCACGUCGGUGAUCUCUACAACAACUGCUGCACAAUGUGUGUCUACGACAGUAGCUUCCUCUGUCCUGUCGGAGAUUUCAGGAGGAGACUGGACGUGUUCCAGCCCAACACCAGGAACCAUUAUACACCAACAGGGUAUUUUGUGUCAAGAACGAGGUUAACCUUCCACCUAUGACCUAACCAGAUAAACAACAAAUUCAUAGAUUUCAUGUUGAGCUACGUGCCCAAGAAUACAGAAACGACGUUUGCAUCAUUAAUGUGAAAAAGACCUGGGAGAAACUCCUUCAAGCCGCACGUCACGCCUUAAGAGUGAUAGCUAAUAUCGUUAACCCCGCUGAAGUGGUUUCAUCUCAUCGAGAGACUACAGAUAUGGAAACGUGCGAAGUACGAAGUCAGCGAAGUACGAAGUCAGCUAGAAUUGUGUACUGUCGGUACACAAUUCUAGCUGAGAAAGCAGAGUUCAGAGCAGAAUUAAAGCAGAAAGCUGCCAACCAUCACCUCUCAGCAACACAAAACCUCUUCACCGAAGCCCUAUCUACAUACCCACCCGAAAUCAACGUGGAACUACCAAGAGUCCCUCACGAGAAUUGUCCAAAGAUCACGAGCAGAUAAGUCCGGAUCUGCAAACCACUCUGAAGCACCUACCUCACAGACUUCGUCCUACCAGCUACUUGCCUGACUUCACUGAGAGAGGAAGCGCUAGCAGACAAGGAAAGGUGAUCAGGCUGCAGGACCAGCUGCUGGUGCAGAAGGACGAACAACUACAGUUGA